GAGAUUAAUCCCGGUUAAUUCUAGUGGCGGACGGGUGAGUAACACGUGAGAAUUCGCCUUUAGGAGGGGGAUAACGGAUGGAAACAUUCGCUAAAACCCCAUAUGCCCUCGGGUGAAAAAGAGAAAGUAAGUCAUACUGAUUUAUCUCUGCCUGAAGAGAAGCUCGCGGCUGAUUAGCUAGUUGGUAGGGUAAAGGCCUACCAAGGCGACGAUCAGUAGCUGGUCUGAGAGGACGAUCAGCCACACUGGAACUGAGACACGGUCCAGACUUCUACGGGAGGCAGCAGUGAGGAAGUUUCUGCAAUGGGCGAAAGCCUGACAGAGCAAUACCGCGUGGGGGAUGAAGACUUACUGAGUUGUAAACCUCGGUACCCUAAGGAAGAAGAUAUGACGGUACUUAGGGUGGAAAGCAUCGGCUGACUCCGUGCCAGCAGCCGCGGUAAGACGGGGGAUGCAAGUGUUAUCCGGAUUUACUGGGCGUAAAGCGUCUGCAGGUGGUUUCUUAAGUCUACUGUUAAAUCUUGAGGCUCAACCUCAAAUCUGCAGUAGAAACUAUUAGACUAGAGUAUAGUAGGGGUAAAGGGAAUUUCCAGUGGAGCGGUGAAAUGCGUAGAGAUUGGAAAGAACACCGAUGGCGAAGGCACUUUACUGGGCUAUUACUGACACUCAGAGACGAAAGCUAGGGUAGCAAAUGGGAUUAGAUACCCCAGUAGUCCUAGCCGUAAACAAUGGAUACUAGAUGUUGAACAGAUCGACCUGUGCAGUAUUAAAGCUAACGCGUUAAGUAUCCCGCCUGGGAAGUAUGCUCGCAGAGUGAAACUCAAGAUUGACGGGGCCCGCACAGCGUGAGCAUGUGUUAAUUCGAUGCACGCGAGACCUUACCAGGG
rnacentral:rRNA from 1 species